CGGGUGAGUAAUGCUUGGGAAUAUGCCUUAUGGUGGGGGACAACAGUUGGAAACGACUGCUAAUACCGCAUAACGUCUACGGACCAAAGGGGGGGGAUCUUCGGACCUCUCGCCAUUUGAUUAGCCCAAGUGAGAUUAGCUAGUUGGUGAGGUAAUGGCUCACCAAGGCGACGAUCUCUAGCUGGUUUGAGAGGAUGAUCAGCCACACUGGGACUGAGACACGGCCCAG
rnacentral:rRNA from 1 species